UACCAGCACCCCGAGUGGUCGGGACGUUUAUUGGGCCUAAAGCAUCCGUAGCCGGUUCUGCAAGUCUUCCGUUAAAUCCACCUGCUUAACAGAUGGGCCGCGGAAGAUACUAUAGAGCUAGGAGGCGGGAGAGGCAAGCGGUACUCGAUGGGUAGGGGUAAAAUCCACUGAUCCAUUGAAGACCACCAGUGGCGAAGGCGGCUUGCCAGAACGCGCUCGACGGUGAGGGAUGAAAGCUGGGGGAGCAAACCGG
rnacentral:rRNA from 1 species